AUGAAGCUGGAGUUGCUAGUAAUCGCGAAUCAGCAUGUCGCGGUGAAUACGUUCCCGGGCCUUGUACACACCGCCCGUCACACCAUGAGAGUUGGCAAUACCCAACGUACGUGAUCUAACCCGCAAGGGAGGAAGCGUCCUAAGGUAGGGUCAGCGAUUGGGUGAAGUCGUAACAAGGUAGC
rnacentral:rRNA from 1 species